rnacentral:sRNA from 1 species
UAUAAAUGCAGGUAGAAAUACGCUGUAUACUUGCGGAAACCGAAUUAACGUUUAAGCGUAUGUUAAGUACGCCGGACGCAAGGCCAUCGUAAGAUGGUUUUUUUU